rnacentral:rRNA from 1 species
GUGCCAGCCGCCGCGGUAAUACAGAGGGUGCAAGCGUUAAUCGGAAUUACUGGGCGUAAAGCGCGCGUAGGUGGUUCGUUAAGUUGGAUGUGAAAUCCCCGGGCUCAACCUGGGAACUGCAUUCAAAACUGUCGAGCUAGAGUAUGGUAGAGGGUGGUGGAAUUUCCUGUGUAGCGGUGAAAUGCGUAGAUAUAGGAAGGAACACCAGUGGCGAAGGCGACCACCUGGACUGAUACUGACACUGAGGUGCGAAAGCGUGGGGAGCAAACAGGAUUAGAAACCCCCGUAGUCC